AAUAUUGGAAAAUGGGGGCAACCCUGAUCCAGCCAGGCCGCGUGUGAAGAAGGUCAUAGGAUUGUAAAGAACUUUAAGUUGGUAGGAAGGGCUUUAGGUCAAUACCCUGAAGUUUUGACGUUACCAACAGAAUAAGCACCGGCUAACUCUGUGCAAGAAGCCGCGGUAAUAACGAGGGUGCAAGCUUUAAUCGGAAUUACUGGGCGUAAAGAGCGCGUAGGUGGUUCAGUAAGAUGGGUGUGAAAUCCCCGGGCUUAACCUGGGAACUGCUUUCAUAACUGCUGAGCUAGAGUACGGUAGAGGGUAGUGGAAUUUCCUGUGUAGCGGUGAAAUGCGUAGAUAUAGGAAGGAACACCAGUGGCGAAGGCGACUACCUGGACUGAUACUGACACUGAGGUGCGAAAGCGUGGGGAGCAAAC
rnacentral:rRNA from 1 species